GCACAAGCGGCGGAGCAUGCGGAUUAAUUCGAUGCAACGCGAAGAACCUUACCAAGGCUUGACAUACACCGGUAACGCCCAGAGAUGGGUGCCCCUUUGUGGUCGGUGUACAGGUGGUGCAUGGUUGUCGUCAGCUCGUGUCGUGAGAUGUUGGGUUAAGUCCCACAACGAGCGCAACCCUCGUCCUAUGUUGCCAGCGGGUCAUGCCGGGGACUCAUGGGAGACUGCCGGGGUCAACUCGGAGGAAGGUGGGAUGACGUCAAAUCAUCAUGCCCCUUAUGUCUUGGGCUUCACGCAUGCUACAAUGGCCGGUACAAAGGGCUGCGAUACCGCGAGGUGGAGCGAAUCCCAGAAAGCCGGUCUCAGUUCGGAUUGGGGUCUGCAACUCGACCCCAUGAAGUCGGAGUCGCUAGUAAUCGCAGAUCAGCAACGCUGCGGUGAAUACGUUCCCGGGCCUU
rnacentral:rRNA from 1 species